AAAUUGAAGAGUUUGAUCAUGGCUCAGAUUGAACGCUGGCGGCAGGCCUAACACAUGCAAGUCGAACGGUAACAGGAAGCAGCUUGCUGCUUCGCUGACGAGUGGCGGACGGGUGAGUAAUGUCUGGGAAACUGCCUGAUGGAGGGGGAUAACUACUGGAAACGGUGGCUAAUACCGCAUAACGUCGCAAGACCAAAGAGGGGGACCUUCGGGCCUCUUGCCAUCAGAUGUGCCCAUCAGAUGUGCC
rnacentral:rRNA from 1 species